GGAAAUGAAGUCGUGUGUGGGGUGAGAGUAAAAGUGAUUUGUGAGAUAUUCUAAGAUUUAGCGUCAUAUAGUCGAAAUGAAACAUAUUUUGAAUGUUACAGUAUACGAUGAUGUGUCACUGGUGUUGUGAAUGUGGACUGUGACAGAGGUAGGAAUGGAUAAAGGCCUGUUGUUCGUGGUCAUGUCAUACCAAACCCGUAAAAAUGAAUAACACAGGCAAUGAUUGAGUUCAUUUCCAGAACUGUUUAAAAGUUUUACGAAUUAAAAUGGUAAACAUUUAUAUACAUUUUAAUUGAAUGUCAAAUUAUUUUAGUCUCUCGUUAAUUCUUGAUUAUCAUGUUUAUCCUCUUUAGAUAGGUAUGUAAUUCUAAUGAUACUGAAAUAUAACCUUAUUUUAUAAUAAUAAAAUUACUUCAGUGUUUUUAUGGGUUUUAUUACGACCCUUUCAGUAUCAUUGAUUAUAUAAUGUCUAGCGGUAGGAUCUUAGGUUAACAAUGAAUUAGAAAGGAUUCGGAAGAAAACGCUUGUGAACUGAGGUACAAACUCGGCAUUUGACUGGUAUGACUGAGAAGACCGCGUUAAAUAUCGGUCAGGAUUUACCGGAUAGACAGUGUGUCGAACUGCUUGUAUAAAUCGAUAUAUUUCGAUUAUUAUGUGCUAAGAGUUAUCGUGUAUGAUGUGACGAGUGUUUGUUGAGAAGCUAGUGGUCGUUCAUCUGUUCAAGAAUGGAUCGUGUGUGAAUAAACAUAAUUGUAAACUGACUGUGUUGGCCGCUACGUGGAAUGGUAAUACGCGGUUCGUGUUUACACUUGUGGCCCAGUUUGCAACAGUAAUGAAGGCAGUCAAAUCGGUGUAAAGACAAGCUGGUUCAAGGAUGCGAGAGAACAUGUCGGUCCUAAACUUCGCGCCUGGGGACUGCAGCAGCGACUCUCGUGUCAAUAGAACGAACCUUUCUGAGCGGGUUCAAGUAGCCAUACUACACGGCGUCACAUGCCAGGAGACCUUAAUCAUAACAAAAGGACGUCUCUGGGAACGGACUGCUGAGGAG